CAAAACUGGUUUUCUUUUUUGGGUGAAUGACGGUACAUGAAGGGUGUUCGGAAAGAAUCUUUUCGAUAAAACAAAACAUUGAUAUCCCACGUUCCUUUCUGGGAACCCUAAUAAUAUGAUACUGACACGUAGGCCUAUAACUGGUAUAAAAACAGAAGCCGCAGCGCUAAUUUAGCAUUUAGUCCGGGUGCCUGGAAGAAAUGGAUUCAGAUGAUUGAAAAGUACAUGAGUUUGUGCCCCAGCAGUGGAAAAUGCAAUGCAUUAUAUCUCAGACCAAAAAUCGCUCCUAAGUGGAAUGUAUGGUACGACGACGUCCCAGUCGGAGUACAUCAACUGCAACAGAUUGUGGCCAAAAUGUGUAGAGAGGCAGGAUUUGAUGGGGGUUUUUUAGUUAUUUUUCUUUUUUUACAAAUCACUCUCUUCGGGCUACUGCCGCCACACGCCUAUAUGCUACGGGUGUUGACGAGCAACUUAUAGCGGGAAAAAGUUGGUCACAGGUCAUCUGCGAUUCGCAACUACAAACGCACCUCUGAUGAACAAUUACAGAGUUUAAAGUGAUUUGAUUCAUAAACCGUCCACAGUGUCCUCGCCGGAGCCGAAAAAAGUGAAGCUCAAUGAAAGUGUUUCCUUUGGAUCGGGAAAAGAAAUAAACAUCACUGCCGGGGAUGUAACAGUGAAUUUGCGACUUUAAUGUACAUGUGUUUAAAUGAAUGGUUGUGACAUGGAUUUAUAACUGUGGUGCCUAAACGAUUUCAUAUACAGUAAAAUUGGAUUCUACACGAAACACUCAUUUCGUAUAAUUUACUGGAAUAUUUCACACCUUGAAUAUUGUAUUUGAUAAAUAAU